rnacentral:misc_RNA from 1 species
CCAUCCCCGUCCCGCCCACGCCCUGCGCGGCCCGGCACCACGCCCACGCGCACCGCGCGCGGCGGUUUGAAACCCAUCCGCCGCCCCCCUCUAUUUAUCCCGACACACAGCCCCACCCCACCCCACAUCUCCUCACUUCACACCACUCCCGCCAUUGUCCUGCGCCUUUCUGCACCGCCACACACACCCCGCUCCAAUCCAAUGGCGCCUCGCCAAGCCGUCCUCGCGGUCGUGGUCCUCGCCGCGCUGCUCCCGUUCGCCCUCUCUCGCGGGCUGCGGCUUGGCCACCACCGCGCCCAGCCGCACCCGAGGCCGCACGGCCACGCACCGCUCGGAGGUGGCGCGUGGUCCUCGGCUCACGCCACCUUCUACGGCGGCGGCGAUGCGUCCGGCACCAUGGGCGGGGCGUGUGGGUACGGCAACCUCUACAGCCAGGGGUACGGCACCAACACGGCGGCGCUGAGCACGGCGCUCUUCAACAACGGCCUCAGCUGCGGCGCCUGCUUCGAGGUGCGGUGCGACGCGGCGGGGGGCGGCGGCCGCUCGUGUCUGCCGGGCUCCGUCGUGGUGACGGCCACCAACUUCUGCCCGCCCAACAACGCGCUCCCGUCCGACGACGGCGGCUGGUGCAACCCGCCGCGCGCCCACUUCGACAUGUCGCAGCCCGUGUUCCAGCGCAUCGCGCUCUACAGGGCUGGCAUUGUCCCCGUCUCCUACCGCAGGGUCGCGUGCAACAAGAAGGGCGGCAUCCGGUUCACCAUCAACGGCCACUCCUACUUCAACCUGGUGCUGGUGACCAACGUGGGCGGCGCCGGCGACGUGCACGCGGUGGCCGUGAAGGGCGACCGUUCCGCGGGGUGGCAGGCCCUGUCGCGCAACUGGGGCCAGAACUGGCAGAGCAACACGCUCCUGGACGGGCAGGCCCUCUCCUUCCGCGUCACCACCAGCGACGGCCGCUCCGUGGUCUCCAGCAACGCUGCCCCGCGCGGCUGGGGCUUCGGCCAGACCUUCAGCGGGGCCCAGUUCAACUGAACACCCUCCAUCGUUCCCGCAGCGUCGUCUCGUCCGUCGUCGACGCGGUGCCACAAGUAGUAGUUUUCCGUUGGUCGUGGUAGAGUCGUCCACCCUCACUCGGAGCUUGCCGAGAGGCGCCAUGGUUUUAUGAAUGGUGCAUCUCGCUUUGGAUCUGGGGAAUUACCAGUAGUUUAGGCCUAGUAUUAGCGCGGGUUUUGUCGUGCUGGUGUUAGCCUGGUUGGUGUGGUAGCGUUUUGCUUGGUUGUUUUGGAAUUGGAAGUGGUGGUAAGGCUGGCUUGCAGAUUAACGGAGGUAGGCCGCCUUUUAUCACCCGCCAAUUAAGCAUUUGUGGG